rnacentral:misc_RNA from 1 species
CGAUGGGAAAAUUUGAAUCUCUAUAAAUAUAAUUCCACUAAUGAUCAAAUACUUGUACAUAAAAAGGUCCAAUGUAUAUAAAUAAUCCUCAACAUAAUCAUAAUUAUACAAUAAAAUCCAUAUCAAUCCUUAAUUUAUUCCACUCUGUAAUUGAACCAAUGAAUCAAAGAACAAUAACCCUCAUCUCAAUCCAUCAUAGAAUCUCUCUCCAAAUAGCAUAUGCAGUAAUGAUAUGUAUAUUCACUAUGUAUAAACAAUAAAAUAGAAAAACCCAUCUCAGAUCUGGCAACAAAAAGAGAUUUUAGUGCUUCAACAGAGCAAGCAUAGACAAGAAG